rnacentral:misc_RNA from 1 species
AUAUAUAUCAACCUCUUCAGCUUUUUGCAUGUUGAGUUGUUGGAUGUGGGGGGUUAUUUUUUGUUGGACUUCUUGAGAAAUCUGAGUUCAGCUUCCCUAAAAUACAUUAGCGAAACAAUUUGUUUACUGCUCAUUGGUGUGAUAACUAUCUACGCUAUUGACAGGGGGCAUGUUUAGCUUCUAAUAGUCCAUUGACUUGGACAAUUUGUUUAUUAA